rnacentral:miRNA from 1 species
AAUAUAGGACAUCCAUUUAAAUUUGAAUCUCAGAUAAACAACAAGUAAUUUUUUAGUUUAAGCAUGUCCUAUGUAACAUUUGGGACAUAUUUAUACUAAAAAAAAUUUAUUCAUUAUUUACCUGAAAUUUAUGUUAGCCAGACAUCCUGUAUUUU